rnacentral:rRNA from 1 species
UGGGGAAUUUUGGACAAUGGGCGAAAGCCUGAUCCAGCAAUGCCGCGUGUGUGAAGAAGGCCUUCGGGUUGUAAAGCACUUUUGUCCGGAAAGAAAUGGCUCUGGUUAAUACCUGGGGUCGAUGACGGUACCGGAAGAAUAAGGACCGGCUAACUACGUGCCAGCAGCCGCGGUAAUACGUAGGGUCCAAGCGUUAAUCGGAAUUACUGGGCGUAAAGCGUGCGCAGGCGGUUGUGCAAGACCGAUGUGAAAUCCCCGAGCUUAACUUGGGAAUUGCAUUGGUGACUGCACGGCUAGAGUGUGUCAGAGGGGGGUAGAAUUCCACGUGUAGCAGUGAAAUGCGUAGAGAUGUGGAGGAAUACCGAUGGCGAAGGCAGCCCCCUGGGAUAACACUGACGCUCAUGCACGAAAGCGUGGGGAGCAAACAGGAUUAGAUACCCUGGUAGUCCACGCCCUAAACGAUGUCAACNAGUUGUUGGGAUUCAUUUCCUUAGUAACGUAGCUAACGCGUGAAGUUGACCGCCUGGGGAGUACGGUCGC